AUACGUAGGGGGCGAGCGUUGUCCGGAAUGAUUGGGCGUAAAGGGCGCGUAGGCGGCCCGGUAAGUCUGGAGUGAAAGUCCUGUUUUUAAGAUGGGAAUUGCUUUGGAUACUGUCGGGCUUGAGUGCAGGAGAGGUAAGUGGAAUUCCCAGUGUUGCGGUGAAAUGCGUAGAGAUUGGGAGGAACACCAGUGGCGAAGGCGACUUACUGAACAGUAACUGAGGCUGGGGCGCGAAAGGGUUGGGAGCAAACAGGAUUAGAUACCCUGGUAGUCCGCACUGUAAACGAUGAAUGCUAGAUGUAGGGGGUAUCGACCCCUUCUGUGCCGCAGUCAACACAAUAAGCAUUCCGCCUGGGGAGUACGGCCGCAAGGUUGAAACUCAAAGGAAUUGGCGGGG
rnacentral:rRNA from 1 species